GUCUACGGCCAUGCCACCCUGAACAAGCCCAAUCCUGUCUGAUCUCGGAAGCAAGCAUGGUCGGGCCUGGUUAGGACUUGGAUAGGAGACCACCCAGGAAGACCAGGUGCUGUAGGCG
rnacentral:rRNA from 1 species